ACCUGGAUGACUUUUUGGUGGUAAUAGAGGUCUUCCUCUACUCGGAUUUGGCUGUCGAUUUUUUCUUCACUUUUAGGUGUAUUUUGUGCAAGAAUAUGCAAUAAAAUCGUCUGCCUAAGAAAAAUUGAAUUUUUUUGGAAAUUUUUUUUCGGACCUGGAUGACUUUUUAAUGGUAAUAGAGGUCUUCCUCUACUCGGAUUUGGCUGUCGAUUUUUUUCUACACUUUUAGGUGUAUUUUGUGCAAGAAUAUGCAAUAAAAUCGUCUGCCUAAGAAAAAUUGAAUUUUUUUGGAAAUUUUAUUUUGCACCUGGAUGACUUUUUGGUGGUAAUAGAGGUAUUCCUCUACUCGGAUUUGGCUGUCGAUUUUUUUUAACACUUUUAGGUGUAUUUUGUGCAAGAAUAUGCAAUAAAAUCGUCUGCCUAAGAAAAAUUGAAUUUUUUUGGAAAUUUUUUUUCGGACCUGGAUGACUUUUUGGUGGUAAUAGGGGUCUUCCUCUACUCGGAUUUGGCUGUCGAUUUUUUUCUACACUUUUAGGUGUAUUUUGUGCAAGAAUAUGCAAUAAAAUCGUCUGCCUAAGAAAAAUUGAAUUUUUUUGGAAAUUUUAUUUUGCACCUGGAUGACUUUUUGGUGGUAAUAGAGGUAUUCCUCUACUCGGAUUUGGCUGUCGAUUUUUUUCUACACUUUUAGGUGUAUUUUGUGCAAGAAUAUGCAAUAAAAUCGUCUGCCUAAGAAAAAUUGAAUUUUUUUGAAAAUUUUUUUUUUGACCUGGAUGACUUUUUGGUGGUAAUAGAGGUCUUCCUCUACUCGGAUUUGGCUGUCGAUUUUUUUUAACACUUUUAGGUGUAUUUUGUGCAAGAAUAUGCAAUAAAAUCGUCUGCCUAAGAAAAAUUGAAUUUUUUUGAAAAUUUUUUUUUUGACCUGGAUGACUUUUUGGUGGUAAUAGAGGUCUUCCUCUACUCGGAUUUGGCUGUCGAUUUUUUUUAACACUUUUAGGUGUAUUUUGUGCAAGAAUAUGCAAUAAAAUCGUCUGCCUAAGAAAAAUUGAAUUUUUUUGAAAAUUUUUUUUUGACCUGGAUGACUUUUUGGUGGUAAUAGAGGUAUUCCUCUACUCGGAUUUGGCUGUCGAUUUUUUUCUACACUUUUAGGUGUAUUUUGUGCAAGAAUAUGCAAUAAAAUCGUCUGCCUAAGAAAAAUUGAAUUUUUUUGGAAAUUUUAUUUUGCACCUGGAUGACUUUUUGGUGGUAAUAGAGGUAUUCCUCUACUCGGAUUUGGCUGUCGAUUUUUUUCUACACUUUUAGGUGUAUUUUGUGCAAGAAUAUGCAAUAAAAUCGUCUGCCUAAGAAAAAUUGAAUUUUUUUGAAAAUUUUUUUUUUGACCUGGAUGACUUUUUGGUGGUAAUAGAGGUCUUCCUCUACUCGGAUUUGGCUGUCGAUUUUUUUUAACACUUUUAGGUGUAUUUUGUGCAAGAAUAUGCAAUAAAAUCGUCUGCCUAAGAAAAAUUGAAUUUUUUUGAAAAUUUUUUUUUUGACCUGGAUGACUUUUUGGUGGUAAUAGAGGUCUUCCUCUACUCGGAUUUGGCUGUCGAUUUUUUUUAACACUUUUAGGUGUAUUUUGUGCAAGAAUAUGCAAUAAAAUCGUCUGCCUAAGAAAAAUUGAAUUUUUUUGAAAAUUUUUUUUUGGACCUGGAUGACUUUUUGGUGGUAAUAGAGGUCUUCCUCUACUCGGAUUUGGCUGUCGAUUUUUUUUACACUUUUAGGUGUAUUUUGUGCAAGAAUAUGCAAUAAAAUCGUCUGCCUAAGAAAAAUUGAAUUUUUUUGAAAAUUUUUUUUUUGACCUGGAUGACUUUUUGGUGGUAAUAGAGGUCUUCCUCUACUCGGAUUUGGCUGUCGAUUUUUUUCUACACUUUUAGGUGUAUUUUGUGCAAGAAUAUGCAAUAAAAUCGUCUGCCUAAGAAAAAUUGAAUUU